GACUCAGUCUGGUUAACCUCCCUGCCUUUCCUCCUUCCCUUCUCUCUCUCGGGCUACGUCGGCGGCUUAAAAAAGUGCGGAAUCCAGCUGCCCAGAUAAAGACCACGCACCAAGUGACUUCAAGUUUUGUUUGAACAGUGAUGGACACCGCUGGGGCUGCAGGUCGGAAACUAGAUGCCCAGAUCCCUGUGACUUUUGUUACGGAUACAAGACAGGUUGCGCUGGAGCAUGCGCCUACAACGAAACAGCUUAUUGGAUAAGAAGAAAAGAAAUGGUGCAAACAGCGCCACCAUGCUUUCCGAAGAAAUCAUGUUGAUGAAUUGUUUCUCUUAAAAGCUUGCUAAAUUACGUCCUAUUUCAAUUUUCAAAUAUUGUGAAUAUCGUGUGAAUAAAGUGAUAUUUCUUAU